UACGGGGGGGGUAAGCGUUGUUCGGAAUUACUGGGCGUAAAGGGCUCGUAGGCGGCCAACUAAGUCAGACGUGAAAUCCCUCAGCUUAACUGGGGAACUGCGUCUGAUACUGGAUGGCUUGGAUUCGGGAGAGGGAAUGCGGAAUUCCAGGUGUAGCGGUGAAAUGCGUAGAUAUCUGGAGGAACACCGGUGGCGAAGGCGGCAUUCUGGACCGAUAUUGACGCUGAGGAGCGAAAGCCAGGGGAGCAAACGGG
rnacentral:rRNA from 1 species